rnacentral:rRNA from 1 species
CCUACGGGAGGCAGCAGCAAGGAAUUUUGUGCAAUGGGCGAAAGCCUGACACAGCGGCGCCGCGUGGGGGAUGAAGGCUUUCGGGUUGUAAACCCCUUUUCUCAGGGAAGAAUAAUGACGGUACCUGAGGAAUAAGUCUCGGCUAACUACGUG